CCUACGGGCGGCAGCAGUGAGGAAUAUUGGUCAAUGGGCGCGACCCUGAUCCAGCGAAGUAGCGUGUAGGAUGACUGCCCUACGGGUUGUAAACUUCUUUUAUCAAGGAAUAAAGUGAGGCAAGUUUGCCUUUUUGUAUGUACUUUAUAAAUAAGAAUCGGCUAACUCCUUGCUAGCAGCCGCGGGAAUAAGGGGGAUCCUGGCGUUAGCCGGAUUUUGUGGGGUUAAAGGGAGAGUUGAUGGGUUGUUAAGUCAGUUGUGAAAGUUUGCGGGUCAACCGUAAAAUUGCAAUUGAUACUGGCAGCCUUGAGUAAAGUUGAGGUAGGCGGAAUUCGUGGUGUAGCGGUGAAAUGCUUAGAUAUCACGAAGAACUCCGAUUGCGAAGGCAGCUUACUAAACUGCCACUGACAUUGAUGCUCGAAAGUGUGGGUAUCAAACAGGAUUAGAUACCCGAGUAGUC
rnacentral:rRNA from 1 species